rnacentral:tRNA from 1 species
GCGUUCGUGAUGGAAAUGGCAGACAUACCUGGCUUAGAACCAGGCGCCGUAAUCGGCAUGCGAGUUCGAGUCUCGCCGAACGCACCA